GCUACGAAAUUAAACAUCCCUAUAAACAUAGCUAAUUUGUAAAAAAUAUCUUUUUUGCUACGGUUUGGCCACUAAAUUUUCCGUGGCUGUGUAAAAAAGCCACAAUUUUAUCACGAAUUAGCCACUAAAAUUUGAAAUAUUAAACCCUAAAUAUACUUUUAAAACCCUAAACUCUAAAUAAAAAUCUUAAAUUCUUAUUUUAACUUUAAAUCUCAAACUUAAAUUCAAAAAAUAAUGUUUUUCAGGUUUUACUCUUAAAUCUUUAAUCUAACCUUGAAACUAUAUUCCAAACCAUACACUUUAAACCUAAACAUAAUACCCUAAAUCAUAAAUUCAAACACCAAAACUAAUAUUUUCAAACUCAAAUGUUAAACAUAAAUUACAAUCUCUAUACCCCAAAUCAAAAACCUAAUCUUUAAAGAAUUUAACUAUUUAAACUAAAUAAAUAAUGCUCAAUACAUAAUUAUUAGUUAUUUAUAUAAAUAUUUAAAAUCUUUACACGAAAACUUUAUCUCUUUGUUUGGUAAGCAUGUAAACUUCAUCUAAAAUUAAAAAAAAACAGUAUCUUUAAUUCUAAGGCUUAAACUAUUAAACCUAAACAAACCCUCUAUAACCCCUAAACUCAAACCCUAAAACCUUUAAUUCUAAAUAAAAACUAAACACUAUAGUAUAACUAAACUUGCUCUUAAAUCCUAAACUAUAAAUAUACUUUAAUAAAAGUGACACUUAACUUUAUAUUUUCAUACUAUAAACUAGUCUUUUAUUUUGAACUAAAUCACUAGAUUAUAUAUCAUAAACAUGACACUUAACUUUAUAUUUUUGUUUUGAACUAAAUCAACAUAUCUUAAAUCAUAAACAUAAUUUUUAAUAUCUAUAAUUUAAAAAAUAUAAAAUUAAAUAAAACAUUCUCUUUUGUCUUCCAUAUAUAUUAAAACUAAAAUGCUGUAAAAAAGAAGGUAGAAUAGAGUAAACAUAAUUAAUAAUUACUCAUAACUUUCUAUUGGUUAAGAUAAGAGGGUGAGGAUCACAAUUUUUGACCAUUGAUUAAAUCUAAUCAAUGGUUCAGAUUCAUUUAUUUGUGUUUCUUUCUCUCUCUCCAAAGUCUCUUCUCUCGAUAUCUUUUUCUGCCUUUUCUAAUCUUCUUCUCUCUGUCUCUUCAACAACACAACUCUGUCUUAAUCUCUCACAAUCACUCACAGCCUUCUUCUUCUCCAUAUACAACAACGACGUUUAACAACGACCGUCGCGUUCUUCACCACCACCACCGUCACGCUCUUCACCACCAUCACCGUCACGCUCUUCACCACCAUCACCGGAAGGUGGAGGAGGCAGAGGAGAUUGAUGAAGGAUGAGGUAGCAGAAGCGGUGGCUCGUGAGCUGAGCCGGCUUGAAGAUUGAAGAUAAGAAGCUACGGUGAGGAAGCAGAAGAAGCGUGACGGCGGAGGAGGCGUGAAGCGUCGCUUCAUCAAUAACACCACCGGUGGCUCCAGAAACAAAUCGAGUCGCCGCUUCAGGCGAACUAUCCGGAGGUGUCGGUGGUGAAGCUGGUGGCGGUACCGGUGGUUGAGCCGACGUAUAUAUUUGUGUAUAUAUAUGUAUGAUAUAUAUUUAUAAUUUGUUUUCUAUAUAUUUUGUAAUUUCAUUAAUAAAAAUUAUUUUUUUCUAA